UGUCAGGAACGCAUUCUCUGAACGGCCGAACUUAUAGUCUUAUUGACAGACAGCGAAGUUUAGGAUCCUCGUUGCAACCAUCAUAGACGUAAUAUAAAUGUAGUAGGUAAACAUGACUGAACACUUAUAUCCAAAAAACGAGCCGAGUGAAGCAGAUAGUACGGAGGCCGUCUGUCCCUUUCUAAUAGGGUGACCAUAAGAUUAAGCUAUGUGAGACAAAUCCGAAUUUGCUUAGAUUAUUUAACACAGAUGGGUAUUAAAGUUUUAACUUACGCAUAGGAUGAUGGGUAUCUCAAAGUAACAAAAAAAUAUCUUGAGUUUCUCCGUGAUCAAUGUUAUGGGGUUAAAGAAUAUAAGAUAUUACGAAAGCAAAACAAGGGAUAAAGAUAGCUGUCACUGUCCGCAUUAGUGCAAAGGUCUCGUCAAUACUAAUAAUGCGUAUAAUCCCAAACACGAGGUAGUUUACAAAUUCAGUUGUCGAGUUGCUUCGACCUUCGGUCUCCAACAUCAGGAGGAGAAAUCGUUGGUAUAGCGUCGGCUUUCAAUAAUUGGCUGGAAUUGCACUAUUUAAGCAGGAACAUUCGAAGUGAAGACUGGAUACAACAGAAUUUUUAGUAAUUUUUUGCUUCAAAUAUAGACUGCUGAGCCAUUUAUGUCGCCUUUCUUCAUUGUUUCGUCUGGAUUCAGUGUAAUAGGAUAAUAAACACCACAUCACA